rnacentral:rRNA from 1 species
AUGAGAAUUUCCAUUGACGAGUGCAAAGAAAGAACCGCUAGGAUGCGUGCUAAAAAAGAUUGCUUUGUGAAAGCGUGUUCUUCUAGUUUCCAUGGUAACAAAGAUGAAGAUCUAAAAGUUAUUGAUGUGUCCCCUAUUAAAUCUUUGUUUUGCAAUAUGAAUCUUGAUAAUGAUGGGACUGUAUAUGAGUCAACUUUAGUUAGAAGGCGUCCCAAUGAUUCAGAGUUUUUAGAUGUUGAUGCAAAAAUUGAUAAAAGUGUGAUUGGAGAGGUCAAAACUUUAAAUAUCAAUGAACCCACUAUCUUGGAUUUCAAGGAAUUUAAUUAG